UACGGAGGGGGCAAGCGUUGCUCGGAUUCACUGGGCGUAAAGCGACCGUAGGCGGUCUAUUAAGUCAGAUGUGAAAGCCUUGGGCUCAACCCAAGAACUGCAUUUGAAACUGGCAGACUAGAGUUGUUCAGAGGAAGGCGGAAUUACCAGUGUAGAGGUGAAAUUCGUAGAUAUUGGUAGGAACACCGAAGAUGAAGAUA
rnacentral:rRNA from 1 species